GGCAGAGCGGCUUUCUGGCCAGACUAAGCCCCAUUCUCUCCAUGCUUUAGAAACUGGGCAUCUGCGCUGCCAUUGCUUCUGACCCUACGUCAGCUCUUCACGUGGAGGCAGCCAGCAGCAUCCCUGGGUGCAGGGUUGCUAUGUACUCUGCCCACCUCGUGCUUCCCAAUACAGAAUGUGUUUCUGCAGGUCCAGUAUUUAACACGCGGUUCCUCCAAGGAAGCCUCUGUCUGUACCCUAAGGGUCUCCUGUUGCAGCCGCCUUUCCUGCACCGUCCUAGGUGCCCGGCGCACAGUGUCGCCCCACCCCACGCCCUCCAGGCGGAACGCUCAGCUCCAGUCUGCUUUGCCCUAGAGCGGGGGCUCCCAAGAAUUAAUUUACUCCCAAUUCCCAUGACUUACCUUCUCAACUUUGUUUCCACCGUUCACUGCUCCCCACAGCACAGCAAAUAAUGCCCCGUUUUAUAUGGAAAACACUAAAAUAGGAUCACACCUUUUAAAAGAUAUUUCCACCUCGCAGCCUGAAAUCAGAUUUCACCUUUCUCCUGCCCCCCACAACCACCCCACUGGCCCCCUCCCCACACGCACACACACACACACCCCUUUUGCUACCAGACUUCCCUAAGCCAGUUUAAUUGAAAAGGCAUGAUUUAGGCUAAUUGACAGCAGAUGGGUCCGGCUGCAAAUGCAAAGAAGCAUUUGUUAAACAUGAUUUACAGCAACGAGGCAAAACUUUCUCCUUUUUAUAUCUUUCUUCGAGCUCCACGGCCAAAACAGCUCAGCAGAAAUGAGAGGAGAAAAAAAAGGAGGCUUGUCUGGCACAUUAAAUUAGAAGAAAAACACACACACACAAUUUCAGAAAUAUUUUGCUGUUGGACUCCCAACUGAAGAUCUAAUAUUUCAGCGUGCGAGUGGGAAGACACGGCCCAGGAGGGCUCCGGUGGAAGCAAGCAUGCUUUUACAGCAUCAUUGCAUCAACCGAAAACUGUCUCUUAAUGUUAGCAGGAGAGAAAGAGCACUUCUAAGACAGCACGUGAUAGCCCACCACGGCCCCAGGCAUCUCAGGGCUGCUCUGAACGGAACUGGCUUCCCAGAAGAGCUGGGUGUGUGCAGCCCUUCCGGGCUUUGGUCAGCUCUCAGGUUCUUAUUUCUACGUCAGGCCAUCCGAUUUUGUGCCUGCUUCUCGGCAGCCCAUUUUAAGCAGGACAGAAACCUGAGAGAAGCAGUGUGUCUGGGA